AAUCUGUGGUGUGGGCAUUUCUGAAUCAACAUAUUAAAAUCCUCUCAUGCUUCGUGAAAUUUUUAUCCUUCUACUUGUUUAAACAUAGAAAUUUCCUUUUUUAGCU
rfam:Gossypium hirsutum cultivar TM-1 chromosome 11, whole genome shotgun sequence